GACGAACGCUGGCGGCGUGCCUAACACAUGCAAGUCGAACGGAGUUGACCUUCGGGUUAACUUAGUGGCGAACGGGUGAGUAACGCGUGAGGAACCUGCCUUUCAGUGGGGGACAACAGUUGGAAACGACUGCUAAUACCGCAUAAUGCAAUCGAGCGGCAUCGCUUGGUUGCCAAAGAUUUAUUGCUGAAAGAUGGCCUCGCGUCUGAUUAGCUAGUUGGUGAGGUAACGGCUCACCAAGGCGACGAUCAGUAGCCGGUCUGAGAGGAUGAACGGCCACAUUGGGACUGAGAUACGGCCCNGACUCCUACGGGAGGCAGGCAGUGGGGGAAUAUUGGGCAA
rnacentral:rRNA from 1 species